GGAAGAAGACCGCUAUGACCUAGAGCAGGGAUUGGCUAGAGAUCGGCAUGUGUGCUACAAACGCACAUGUAAAUCACCAGAAGAAAAGUGAGUCCAAUUUUAAGGUUCGUUGUCUUCAUUUACAUACUCACAAAGGUCUUGUAUCUCCAACUGUCCUGUUCCUAUCAACGCCAGACUGUGAAGGAAAAAAAGAGUCAUGACGCUCCAUCUUUCAGAAGCAGAAUGCAGUACGUAGGACGUUAUUAUGACCUUGCCCAUGCCCUGCAGUGACUCCACUUCCUCGCCAUAAUCCUCAUCCCUCCUGGUGUCUCAAGGGGACUUCCCUCAUGCUGAGCUGUGGAAGUAGAAGAGCUGUCAAGGCAAUUUUCAUAAAAUAGGAUGUCACCUUCCAGACCUAAACCCUGAGACUCAGCCAAGAACUGGUCCAGCAGUUUUACCUACUCUCACCUGCACCCAAGGAAACUUGCUGCCCAUUAUAAGGGCUUAGCGAGGUUUUGUCUUGCAACUUCUGGCUCUAAUUUUCUUCUUUUGAACAUUAGCUUAAACCUUCCAGGAGUUCCUUCCAGGUUUACAAUUUUCUUGACCUUACUUUACUUGUUUUGUCAUUUUAAUGAGCAAUGAGUGGAAACAUAACCCAGUGUUAGGAAGUAUUAUUCACAUAUUUGCUGAAGAUAUUAUUUACAUUGCUCUUUUAGAUAUAGCAGAAAUGACACAAUUUUUCAAAAGUCACAAACCUGUAGCUUCCGUUAUGUUGUGAGAGAAGUGCACAUAGGAUCUCCACCUCUGUUUUAAGAAUACAAAUAAGAUACUCCUUCUCUGAUUUUCUCUAUCAGUAAGGUCCCAAUCACUAAAAUAAAAGGCAAAGGUAAGCAUGGGAGAAAAGUUUG
rnacentral:lncRNA from 1 species